CCGUUGCCGGCGACCGGCGCACGGGUGAGUAACACGUAUGCAACCUGCCCGUGGCAGGGGGAUAAGCGGGGGAAACCCCGUCUAAUACCGCGUAACGCGGCCUAGGGACAUCCCAAGGCCGCCAAAGGGAGCAAUCCCGGCCACGGAUGGGCAUGCGGCGCAUUAGCUAGUCGGCGGGGUAACGGCCCACCGAGGCGACGAUGCGUAGGGGUUCUGAGAGGAAGGCCCCCCGCACUGGUACUGAGACACGGACCAGACUCCUACGGAAGGCAGCAG
rnacentral:rRNA from 1 species